UUCCAGAUCUACAUAUCUAUGGGGCUUCCUUGACCUUCUGCCUUGGGGGAGAGGAGCCUUAGGAAGUAAGGAGACCUUAAAAGGAAGUAAGGAGACCUUACAAGGAAGUAAGGAGAUCUUACAAGUGUGUCUGCAGCUCAUCGAUCAUCUGAAGAUCAGCUUUGCUUUCUGCUGGCUUUACUUAAAUUGGAACAGCUUUACUCAUGGUGACCCAACCAAGCUUGAUGCCCUUAGACAAACAGCCAUGUAUGUGGCACACACUGGGAAGAAUUCUAAAGCUACUUUUCUUGUUGCUGUGGUAAAAUACCUGGCAGAGCAGCUUCUGGAAGGAAGGCUUCAUACCAGAGUGUGAGGUGCAGUCCAUCACUGCAGGGGAGGGAUGGCGGUGGCUUCAUCAUAUUGUGUCUGUUGUCAGGAGGGAGGGGAGAGGGAGGGCGGGAGAGAGGGAGACAGACAGAGACAAAG
rnacentral:lncRNA from 1 species